rnacentral:lncRNA from 1 species
AACCUGUCACUUUUGAACCAAUCAAACACACAGUCGAGGGUACUACUACUACUACGUCAUAUUGCAUGUGUUUUCUUUACCAAAUAUGGGAUUAGGUAAACACAGCCAUAUGUUGUUACACUACGUGUGACAAUUUUAUGUUAUCGGGCAUAUGUUUAUGGGAAUCAGAUAUGCAGCCGUCACAGCCUGUUGAUGAAGAUUCUCAGCUUAUACAGAGGUCAGGCUUGAGCUAUGUGCUGAUUCAAAAGAUGCUAAUGACAGUGGAUAAUCCAUUCUGAGUUGUUCUAGGACCAUUCACCAACAUGUCAAAACACUGAACUGAAGGCAGUAUGUGUACUGGUGUCUGGCCUGUGAUUUCAAGUAUAAUUGAUGUACCUCCUCCUGAUGUAUCUCCUUGAAUACAAUAUAUCUGCCAUGUGAAAGGAACAAGCUGCAAGAUAUACUGUGGAAAUGGGGGCCUAUGUAAAAAACAUUCUAUUUAAAGAAUAUAAGAAAUCUGACACUAAACUACUGAAAAGGUGCACAGGGGACAUUUUUGUGUGUAUAGACUUUCAUCAAGAUUCUGAGAAAGUUGAUUUAUUAAACAAAAAUAGUCAUAUUGUGUCUUCAAAGCUGAAAAGAUUAAGAUCUUAGGAAAACAUUAGGACUCAAGAAAAGUAAUGGGGUUAUGAAACUGUAGUGUUCAACAUUUAAAUUGUUUUUUUUUUGUUUUUUUUUUCACUAUAUUUUGUGAAGAGGGUUCCAUCACAAGAUGUGACAUAUUGGUAAGAAUGAGAUGUAGUUUAUGAAAAAAAGUAUUUUGCUUUAAAUGUGCAGACUUUAAGUUACAUAAAAAAUCAAAGCUAUUACAAUAAAGCUUGAUUAAAAA